GAUGAACGCUGGCGGCGUGCCUAAUACAUGCAAGUCGAGCGAACAGACGAGGAGCUUGCUCCUCUAACGUUAGCGGCGGACGGGUGAGUAACACGUGGAUAACCUACCUAUAAGACUGGGAUAACUUCGGGAAACCGGAGCUAAUACCGGAUAAUAUAUUGAACCGCAUGGUUCAAUAGUGAAAGACGGCUUUGCUGUCACUUAUAGAUGGAUCCGCGCCGCAUUAGCUAGUUGGUAAGGUAACAGCUUACCAAGGCAACGAUGCGUAGCCGACCUGAGAGGGUGAUCGGCCACACUGGAACUGAGACACGGUCCAGACUCCUACGGGAGGCAGCAGUAGGGAAUCUUCCGCAAUGGGCGAAAGCCUGACGGAGCAACGCCGCGUGAGUGAUGAAGGUCUUCGGAUCGUAAAACUCUGUUAUUAGGGAAGAACAAAUGUGUAAGUAACUAUGCACGUCUUGACGGUACCUAAUCAGAAAGCCACGGCUAACUACGUG
rnacentral:rRNA from 1 species